UUGUGCUGGGGGCGGAGCUGACUGGACCCUGGAAGAGCUGGUCCAAUCAACUCAGUCACAUUUUUAUCCUACCAGACAUGGAAGUAGACAUGUAUUACUUUUGUAAAAAAUUGAAAGGGAAAUAUUAACACGUUCAGUUAGUGGGUUGAAACAGAAAAAACACACACAAUUGUUCAAAUAAUACUGAAUAAAAUAAAGUAGUUUUAAGUUAUUGACCGUAUUAUUAUACUGUUGCACAUUAAUCUAUGGGUUUGUUUAUCAGUAUAGAUCUAUAACCUGAUUGGUAAGAAGUUUCAUCUAGCCUAUAUGGUACGCCAUUUUUCCCUUAGCUCCAACACUUAAAGCACAGGGGUUCACUUCACGCUGCGUCUUUACGCCUUAUCCAGCUGGUGAUAUUUUCCCUCUUUUCAGCUCCAUGCACUUCUAGCCUGUUAGUUUUUAACCAUUACCAUCACCUUUUACAGCGACAGGGUUCUCAUCUCAGUCUCUGUGCUGACCAGACAAAUCUCCUCUAUUGCUCUCCUCAGUGUGCUCUGGUGCGUAAUUACGCAAGCCGAAGGCUGAGUUUGAAGUUGUUCUCUGAGUGCGUUUUGUUUGUGGUCGGAGCGGACGGGAUGAUUACUUUCUGCUUCGCUUUUAGCCCACUAAUAGCCGUAAAGGCGGAGCCUCUCCUGAGUAGUCCUAACCAUGAUCCCUAAAUUCUUGGAACUCUGAGGAUACAGACAUCAUUCCUGAUAGUCCCUCCAGAACACGCCAGAGGUUGGAAGCGGAAGCUAAGCAUGUAAGAGUUUUUAUAAUAUUUACAUGGUUUGAAGACCUUGUUGAGCUCAUGAACUUAUGUUUUUUUGUUAGCCCCUUAAUUUUUUUAUUUUACUAUAAUAAAGUGCACACUUAAAGUAUAUGAGCUAUUAAAAGCAAUUGAAUUUGUUUGUUUUUCACAAAGUAUAAAUUAAUAUAUCCUCUCUAAUUCUCAUGACCAUGUCACUGUCUGGAGGGAGUUUCUCUCUCUUCCGCUCUUUUGGUGCAGCAUAGAAUAGAAAAUCCCUUUAUUGUCCCACAAUAGGAAAUGACAAGUUGCGACAUAUUCCUAAUGUGUUGAAUUCUUUUGUGUUGUGUUUCAAGUUGGUGGAAUCAGUUCUUACCAAAAAAACAGGUGGGGAACGUAUAAUAAAUGAAUACAGCCGAACCAAGUCCUUGACGGAUGAAACCAGACGGAAAAUGGUUAACAUGCUGGCAGCUGACAUGACUGAAAAGAAUGGUACAUCCCCACCCAGGCAGGUGAAAGAAAUGUACGCCAGAGGAAUAGUGUCCUUAUUCCCCUACCUCAGUGACCCAUUCUCUAAGAAUGGCUAUGAGCACUAUUAUGACGGGCAGAGUGUAACUGUGUACUUGGCCUGGAGGAUUAAAACUAUUCAGAGAGGCACUGCUAAAGAUAGGCGUUCCUCGUUUGGAGGUAACGGAAAACUAUUGUAAAAUCUCAUAAAAUUAGUGAAUACUGUUUUGAAAGGUCUUGAUGUAUAAAUGUUAAUUUUUUUCUAGUUAGGUUAAGCAUCUUGUAUUCCAAUGUGAAAGAGUUGUGAAAAAAAAUUCUAUACUUUGCAAGUAAUUCCUGGCCUCCAAAUUUCCUUUAAGCCUUUUGUACUUUUUUGCAGUAUGGUUGUGGAAUGGGUCUUGCAUUGUAUUCAUUAUGUUCUUUAAAAAUCUUAAAUUUGGCUUGUUGAAACCUGCAGAGAUCCUGGAAACGAUACUGGUUACUGUAUUUGUUGCACACAAUGCUUCUCAGUAAAAUAAUAUUUACUUUCUUUAAGUCUAACUACACCCUUCAAUUCCUCUAACUUUGUCAACAGGCUGGCAUGGCAAGUUCUGGUUGAUUCAAAAGACUAGACAUGCAUUUUGAACCAUUAUCAAUGUAUGAAAUCAUGUGAAUAAUCAUAAAUUGUGAAUUUAGCUUCUACUUUUGUGUAGAUUACCUCUUUAUGAGUUGCCCAGGUUUUUACAAAUAUUUUUUAUACCUGUAUGUAUAAUAAUGCAUUUCCCAAUGUUAUGUAGAAUCAGCCAAACAAUCCUCUGGUGAAGAUGUGUCUGGAGGAUCAAUUGUCAGAUGAGAGUCCGAGUUUGUUCCAGACACUGCCCUAACUGAAGAUGAGUGCAACGAAGCAAUCUCACUGAUGAAACAUUCAGCAGAUGAAGACACCGUCAAGAAGAAAAUGAAACUGACGUUUGAGUAUCGCCACAACAUUGUCCUUGACCCACAACAGUCAAGCAACAUACUGUCCGAAUUUCCACGUUUUAAAGACGUCAAAGGCUUGGUAAUUAUCUAUCACCCUUUAACUUUUUUUUGCCUGUUAAUUACUUGAAAUUGUCACCCAACAUUACCCCCAUCCCAGGUUGAACAGGAUUUCAUUCUGAUGUUUGGAGAGGGUACCUCAAGCAAGCUUCUGGAGAGGUGGCCGGUCAAGUUUAAGAAAAAAAUAAUCCAACAGUGCAGAAAGCUCCCAUCUACAAGUGAGCAUGAAGAACUCUUGUUGGCAGCUGAUCCACCUGAGAAUGGCACCGAAGUUCUUGAUUGUUUCUUGUCCUUCUUCUGCUCUCAUAUACUUGAGAUAUUUCAUUGUAAUUAUUUUAAUAUUCUCUAAAUAUUUACAUAACAGCAUAAUUAAAGCUGGAUCUGUAAUAAAUGUAGGAGGAAAUAUUAAACAAAACUUCAAAAGUACUGAAGUGUUAAUCCUAUGGUAUUAGUUGUAUAGCUUCUUGUGAGGAUAUAAAAAAACAUAAAUUAAUAUAUUUUCUGUAUUUUUAGAAAUGCUACUGCCAGUGCAGAGCUAACAUUGUCUGUUGUGGGUCAAGGACAAUGUUGUGGCGAUACUCAAACGUCAGUUUCAUUUUCUUCUUGACGGUGUCUUCAACUGGGUUUCAACCAUCUGCUCCUGUUUCUAAAGACCUGUCUCAUAGAAUGUUCCUUUGCGGCAUAUUUGGCUUACAAUUUCUGCACUUCUGAGGUGUGAGAAGUGAACUAAUGUCCUGCAUUUUUUGGGACACCCCACUUGAAUUAGAGCGGUCAAAAUGUGUAAGCCAUGUCCUAGAAGGAGUAAAUUAGGUUCCCACAAGGUUUAAUCAGUGUUCCACAGUCCUCUAAUUUUGAAAAAGCGCACAAAAUGUCUGAAUCAUGUUAACAUUUGAAUUUCCCUUUGUAAACAAAAUUCAGUAGCUCUGCACUGAAUUUCAGUCUGCAUAACUGCAUACUGUCAGACCGUGCAGACUGGAAGAUCUAUUGGUCCCUUGUGGUGAAGAGAGCACUUCCUGGUUGCGAUACGACGUCAUCACGUCUACCCCAAGCCCGGCGAAAAACAGCACCAGCGCUGAUAAACGACGCAAAAAAUAGAUAUUGAAUUUAUUUAUUUUUUAUUUACUUGUUAUUGGAGGAGGAGAGUUGGUUUAGACGGCUUCGGCGGCAGUAAAGCCGGCGACGAAUUUUUCUCAGGCUGGAGGAGCGCAGUGGAGAGGUAACAUUUACCUGCUAUUAUUUUCACCCACAGGGGCCUGCUA